CUGAGGGCGAUCUGGCUGCGACAUCUGUCACCCCAUUGAUCGCCAGGGUUGAUUCGGCUGAUCUGGCUGGCUAGGCGGGUGUCCCCUUCCUCCCUCACCGCUCCAUGUGCGUCCCUCCCGAAGCUGCGCGCUCGGUCGAAGAGGACGACCAUCCCCGCUAGAGGAGGACCGGUCUUCGGUCAAGGGUAUACGAGUAGCUGCGCUCCCCUGCUAGAACCUCCAAACAAGCUCUCACCUAUUCCUAUUUACAGGAUUUAAUCUGUACAUCAGACCUUU
rnacentral:snRNA from 1 species